CAGAUUCGCGAGAACAAGGAUGCUAAACCUCAGGCAUGGGAAUAUGUGCAACCUUUGAAAGGAGCGUUCAUAGUGAAUCUUGGUGAUAUGCUAGAACGAUGGAGCAAUUGUAUUUUCAGGUCCACGCUCCAUCGAGUUGUAGGGAACGGUCAA